rnacentral:rRNA from 1 species
GACGAACGCUGGCGGCGUGCCUAAUACAUGCAAGUAGAACGCUGAAGAGAGGAGCUUGCUCUUCUUGGAUGAGUUGCGAACGGGUGAGUAACGCGUAGGUAACCUGCCUUGUAGCGGGGGAUAACUAUUGGAAACGAUAGCUAAUACCGCAUAACAAUGGAUGACACAUGUCAUUUAUUUGAAAGGGGCAAUUGCUCCACUACAAGAUGGACCUGCGUUGUAUUAGCUAGUAGGUGAGGUAAUGGCUCACCUAGGCGACGAUACAUAGCCGACCUGAGAGGGUGAGCGGCCACACUGGGACUGAGACACGGCCCAGACUCCUACGGGAGGCAGCAGUAGGGAAUCUUCGGCAAUGGGGGCAACCCUGACCGAGCAACGCCGCGUGAGUGAAGAAGGUUGUCGGAUCGUAAAGCUCUGUUGUAAGUCAAGAACGGGUGUGGGAGUGGAAAGUUCACACUGUGACGGUAGCUUACCAGAAAGGGACGGCUAACUACGUG